AAUUCUUUAACUUAACAGGUAGAGUGCAUUUUUGAUAAGGAUGAAAUUCAAGUUCAAGUCUUGGAAGAAUUAUC
rnacentral:tRNA from 1 species